rnacentral:rRNA from 1 species
AGAGUUUGAUCCUGGCUUAGGAUGAACGCUGGCGGCGUGCCUAACACAUGCAAGUCGAACGGAGUAAUUAAGCGGAAGUUUCGGAUGGAAGCAUAGUUACUUAGUGGCGGACGGGUGAGUAACGCGUGGGCAACCUGCCCUGUACCGGGGGAUAACACUUAGAAAUAGGUGCUAAUACCGCAUAAGCGCACAGCUUCGCAUGAAGGUGUGUGAAAAACUCCGGUGGUACAGGAUGGACCCGCGUCUGAUUAGCUAGUUGGUGGGGUAGAGGCCUACCAAGGCGACGAUCAGUAGCCGGCCUGAGAGGGUGACCGGCCACAUUGGGACUGAGACACGGCCCAAACUCCUACGGGAGGCAGCAGUGGGGAAUAUUGCACAAUGGGGGAAACCCUGAUGCAGCGACGCCGCGUGAGUGAAGAAGUAUUUCGGUAUGUAAAGCUCUAUCAGCAGGGAAGAAAAUGACGGUACCUGACUAAGAAGCCCCGGCUAACUACGUGCCAGCCGCCGC